UGGCCGUUGAAGGGCUCGUAACACUAGUGACAUCAGCUAUGUACAGUGUUCCAUGGCAACCCAAACACGGCAGUUGGGGCCUAUGGCCUGUGAGAUGCCCCAGUUUAAAGAAGGAAGGACAGGGGGUACGGAGGGACACCAUUAUGGGAAGGGCUCACUUGUGCCAUUGUGCUUGCUAGAGAGAACUUGUAGCCAGCCCUUGGGCAAAACGCCGCAUAGAGACUCCACUCUCUUCUUCGUGCCAUGCCUCCAAUCCGUUUGUACUGGUGGCUCUGCACAAGCCCUCCAGCAAAGUCCAGUGUCCAUUAGCAAGCCUGAAAGCAAAACAGUGCUCAUCACCUGCCACAUCUCCGUCUCCAACUUUGACCAAGUCUUCAUUCACUGGUACCGCAGGAGGCCUGGGGGAGCUCCCAGGCGCAUUGCCUACAUGGCAACCAGGCUGUUCCUUGAGAAUGAGUCCGAUGAGGGGAAAUUCAGCAUGGAGAAGGACCUCACCAAAUCUGAGUGCACCCUGACAGUGGGCAGAGUCACCGCACAAGACGCUGCGACCUACUACUGUGCCAGAUGGGAUGCACAGCAGCAGAGAGCCGUAGGGAGCCUGCACAAAGACAUGCUCUGCCUCCCAAAACAGACCCUACAAUGCCAGAACACUUGUGGGAAUGGCCUCCCCUCCCCUCUGCAUCUUUAUUCUAGGCAUAGGCUAUGUGGGCUCUGAAAGGUUUCCCUUUCCUGUACUGUUUGCCCCAGGCUACAAGGUCCCUCUGUUGUGCUGCUUUAUCACAGCAACACCUGCUGGCUGUGCAGGGCCCCUCUCUGGGUGGCUGCUAGUGACUCACAUCCUUCCCUCAGGCACAGCCCCUGCCCCUGCCACACAGCUGGGGGCUUUCUCUGGGGCAGAGGCAAGCAGGCACCCUGAGAAGAAUGCUGCUGCUGCCAGUUCUGGCCCUGGCUGAAGCCUGCUUGCAUCCAUUCCCCUCCCUGUGGUGGAUCCACUGGGAGCAGCAGCGGCAGGAGGCUGUUCCGCACACAGCUGUGGGCAGCAGGCUGGCAGUACUUGCUGUGUUUUCUCUCCUUCUGAUAGAUGGACAUGCACAAGUGCUGCUGCAACAGCGUCCACCAUCUGUUAUCAAAAAGGAAUCCACAACUGUGAGAAUGGAGUGCAAAGUCGAGGGCAUAUAUGACUUCCAGGGUGCCUACAUCCACUGGUACCGACAACUGCCUGCCGGAGCUCCUGAAAGGCUUCUCUAUGUGACAGGAGUAUCACAAGUUAACUACGAUUCGGAUUCCUAUAAGAACAAAUAUUUGUGUUCCAAAGUGGGGAAUAAGAUUUGCACUCUCUCAGUUCUUAAUGUACAUCGUGAUGAUAAAGGUACCUACUAUUGUGCCUACUGGGUGUCUCACAGAGGGAACAGACUGCAGGCAGCCCUUACAGAAAGCCGGCUGCAGCUUCAGCAGCACACUUUCAUUCAAGGGCCAAAAACCACAGCUGCCUUCCUGCCCCCAUCUCUCAGCCUUCAUGAAAUCCCCACAAGUUGAAAUGGGGAAGGAAAUCCAAGAGGAAAGCCAAGACACUUAUGUGGCAGUCACAUUGAGAACACACUGUUCUGUGGGCUGAUGAAAGUUGCUUCUUGGGCAGAUCCAGGGUUCUGAGCAAAGUGGCCAUGGGAAGGGCACAACUGAACAACCCUGGUUUCAGUUUCCAUGCUUAACAAGAUUUGUGGGUAAGAUUUAAUGUGAUAUAGCAGAUAGAUAGAUAGAUAGAUAGAUAGAUAGAUAGAUAGAUAGAUAGAUAGAUGAAUGCAGAAAAAGACGUUAUUAGACUGUAUCUUAGGUCCCCUUUGUAGUGUUACUGAUUGCAUUUUGUUUGACAGAGAAUUUACCGCACACAAAUAUGCGCUCUACUGUAGUGAGCUGAAGACCUUCUGUUGGAUGAGCCAUGAGUCAUUUCCUCCUCUCAGCCACUGAGGAUUUCUCCAUCUUGAUGGCUUUAUAACACUCGUACCACGACUUCAGUUCAACAGUUCGUUCAUGCAGACAAC